rnacentral:lncRNA from 1 species
AAUAAUCUCUCAAAUAGAGACCGCUAUUAAUAGAAUAGCAAAAAUAAAGUAAUCGCUCAAAUAGAGACUGCUUUACAACUAAAUUGUUCUCAAAUAGAAUAGCAAAAAAGAUUUUUAAUCUCUCAAAUAUUAAAAGCAAUGAGAAAAUGUGUUGCAUACAAAAAGACAUAAUAUUAUAAAAAAAGUAUUUAACGAAUUCAAAAGAAGAAAAAAAUACUUAAACAGACGAAAUAAAUAAAGAGAAAAUAAUAUCACGAACAAUAAACUAAUUGAAGAGCUUAUAAAUAAAAAAGAGGAAACAAUACAAACUAACAGAAAAAACAUAAAGAUAAAACACGAUUGUGUAAACAGGUGUCGUAUCCCUAUAAGAUAAAACACGAUUGUAUAAACAGGUGUCGUAUCCCUAUAAGAUAAAACACGAUUGUGUAAACAGGUGUCGUAUCCCUAUAAGAUAAAACACGAUUGUAUAAACAGGUGUCGUAUC